rnacentral:lncRNA from 1 species
GAGCAUGUUAACAUUUAAAACUAUACUGAAAAAUAAACUAAGCAUAGAGCUCGGCUCGACUCAAUCGAAAGUAAAAAUUACCACCAACUCCACCCAAAAUCAAUUAACAAGAGGAAAGAUUUAUGAGUCGAACCUAUGGGGGCAACUGGGGCUGAUCUUUUUCUCGGCUGCUGCUUGCUAACUUUCUGCAAGUGAUCAAGAUUUUCUCUGCCUUCAGCUACUACUGCCUUAAAUCUGUUAUGGGAAUUUCUAACAGAACUACGAUUCAACAAUGGGGAAAAUCUUGAAUUCAAAGGACUUGGAUUGAUGAACGCCUUUUCGGAUGAAAUGGGUUGUGAGAGAGCAAAAAUUGACAACAUUUUUCUUGAAUUUUCUUGGGCUUAAACCAAACAAUAUUCUUCUCCACAAUUUCCAGUAUUGUGCAAAUUCCUGACACAAGAAGAAAUGUGGGAAUCAUGAUUUUAAAGGAGAGAUUGGAGAAUUCUGGAAGGGGUGAAGAUAUUAAGCUGUGAAAAAUUUUAUAAUUUUCUUUUUUUGUCCUUUUUUGCUGGAGAAGACCAGAAACUCUUUGUUACGGACAAGAAAUUCCUACCUGAAUUUGGGGGUUACAGUGGGAAAGAAACGGUGUCAUAUUGGUUGACUCUGUUAGAACAUCACUCCAUGCACGGAGCGAGUGUUGCUAUACACUCCGUGCAUGGAGUAUCUUUGCACAGAGUGUUGUUGGUCCUUCCCCAAAGCCGUUAAAUAGUCCCGCAUCAACCUUGCAAUCAAAUUCUGGUCCUGAUAAUGGACAGAUUGGUGCAACAUCUUUUUCUCCUCAAGUUAAUAAGGGAAAAAAGAGGGAGAGAGGAGAUAAGGGCGUUGAUCCUAUAAAAAGGGAAC